rnacentral:sRNA from 1 species
AACUUGCCUUUGCGUUAGGGAUUGAAACGGCAUCCUUUUUAUGCUAAACUCGCAAUAAUAUUUUUAGUAAAUAAUUUAAUUUGUUAAGAUUAUGUAUAUACUGAAAUAAAUUCAGCAUAAAAAGAUAUAGUGGAAAGCCCGUUAAAAC